rnacentral:ribozyme from 1 species
UUUGAUUUUUUUUUUUUUUUUUUUUUUUUUUUUUUAAUUAUCAAAUAUUUAGAUUAA